GACCUAUAUAUAUGUAUAUGUUCAUACUUAAGGUUCCCUACAAUAAACAUACAAAACAUUUUUUUACCGUGAAGGUUUACAAUGUCGGCGUCGAAAUUUGCUAUAUUUUGUAUUGUUCUCAUUUGUUUUGCUAGUCUUCAUGAAUGUGCCAAUCUGGAAAAAAAGCCCAAAGGAACAUGCUCUAAAACACCAAAGAAUGUUUGGUGUUGCAGUUCCACUACACAUUGCCGAAGCACCAAAGCGGACUGUGAGAAGAUGUGUAUCUGGUAGUAUCUGGGACCGUUGAAUUUUUAUGAAGAGAAUUUCUAUAAUUAUAUAUUCCAAUUAUUUUCAUACUUCUAUUAUUCAAAAUUUAGAUAAUAAAUAGAAAUUUCUAUUCCACAUGAGCAGGAGCAGCUAGUAUUAUGUACUAAAUGUUUUGGAAUUUCUUUGAAAGAUCAAUAUAUAUAGUUGUAUUUCUCACUUUCUUCAAUUUUAUUUAAGAAGUUUAUAAAUUUUAUACAAAAUGAGAAUAAAACCAUAGUAGACUGUUUAACUGAAAUUUAAAUGUUGUAAGUACUUUGUAAAUUAAAUAAAAUAAAAAUAUAUCACUUCAAAAUAUAUUAUAAAUUAUAUAAAUUAAUAUUAAAUGAAUUAAUUAACACAAAAAUUAACAAUUUUCACUUGUCUCGGACUUGACCGAUUCAAAAUAUAACACAAUUUUUUAACAUAAUAAAAUAAUAUACUGUAAAAUAAUCCAUAAGGACGUGGGUCUUCUCAAAUAUGGUCCCACUAAAAGAUUAUAAGAAACAUUAGUAUAUUAAUUUUGUAUAAAUAUAAAGAAAACAUUGUUUUGUUUCCACCAUGAACUCAAUCGCUAAUUAUUCUUAACCAUUCACAACAUUUUGAUAUUGUUUUAUCAUUUUACUUCUAGAAUACAUUUGCAUUAUAUAAUCCAUAUCUUAUAUUCAUCAAAUUAUUUAACAAGAACAAGUUGAAAGCCAAAGUUUAGAUUAAAUAAUAUAUAAGCCAAGAAAAAAUGAUUUUUUUAUUUGACCUAAAAUAAUUUAUUUAAUAUAUGAAUGAUAAAACUGAUAUUUCCUAAACAAAUAAUAUAUCAUAUUUACACCAUUUCUAAUUACAUAUUUUUUUAUUGUACAAUAACUGAAAAUACAUAACUUGGUGUUUAUGCAUCUUACAGGAAACAAUAUAUUAUUGAUAUGAAAAAGGUCAUUGAUGAGAAAUUUUUUUCAUUGAAUUUAAAGAUGAGGCUUCAAUAAUGCUUAUGAUAUUACUGACAUUGUGAUCAUGUUUUAUCUUGGGAAAUUGUGGUUUAUAGCACUAUUAUUAUUAAGUAUUUCUCGCAUAAAAUAUGUCAUUUUGAAAUCCAAUAAAUAAUAUAAUCGCUAUGUAGGCGUUAGUUCAUAUUAGAUACAUAAUUUUUAUUAUAUUGUAUUUUCUCUUAUGACAGUCCUUACAAUAUUUUGAUUAUUGUAUAUAUUUCUUGCGGAAAUAUAUGUUUGGCAAAUAAUUUGUUUAUUUAUUUCUAUAUAAAAAUACUUUUUGGUAAAUUAGAACUGUUAUGUAAAUUAGUACCUAGAAUAAUAAUUCACUUCGAACAACAUAUGCCAGACUCUCAUAAAAUAUGUAUAGAUAAAUCCAUUAAGAAUCGAAGACUAUAUUUUUUCAUCUAAAAUAAGGUAGUAAAAAAAUAUAUAGUAGCUAACUCUUUGAUAAUUUAAUUUGGCCACAUAUUUAAUCUUUCAAAGUUACUCAUAUAUAUAUGGCUGUCAUUAUUGGGUACUUUUAGGUGGUGAUAUAUCCUAUCAAAAAAUUAAAUGAAAAUUUUGGAACUUUUUAACAUAAAUAUAUCAGAAUAUAAGGAGAAUAAAAGUUACCAAUAAUUAUACUUUCAUAUUCUUCGGAUUAUCAUGCGACAAUUUUUCAGGGACAUAUACACAUGUUCACAUUUAAGGAUAUUGAUGAGAAAUUAGUAAAUGCUAAAAUUGGUAGCUAGCUAGUUGAUUUUAUCCACAUAUUUAACCAUUCAAAGCUACACUAUAUAUAUAUAUAUAUAUGGUUGUCGUUAAUCGGUAUUUUUAGGUGCUGACUUACUGUAUCAAAAACGAAAAUGAAUGUUUAGAAUAAAAUUUAACAUAAAUAUUUUAGGAUAUGAAGUAAAAAAUAACCAAUCAAUUUAAAACAGUUUUUCUGGAUAAUUUUAAAAAUAGUCUUCAAAGACCUAUAUAUAUUUAUAUGUUCAUACUUAAGGUUCCCUUCAAUAAACACACAAAACAUUUUCUUACUGUGAAGGUUUACAAUAUCGGCGUCGAAAUUUGCUAUAUUAUGUAUUGUUCUCAUUUGUCUUGCUAGUCUUCAUGAAUGUGCCAAUCUGGAAAAAAAGCCCAAAGUUACAUGCUCUAAAACACCAAAGAAUAUUUGGUGUUGCAGUUCCACUACACACUGCCGAAUCACCAAAGCGGAUUGUGAGAAAAUUUGUAUCUGGUAGUAUCUGGGGCCGUUGAAUUUUUCUGAAGAGAAUUUCUAUAAUUAUAUAUUUCAAUUAUUUUCAUACUUCUAUUAUUCAAAAUUUAGAUAAUAAAUAGAAAUUCCUAUUCCACAUGAGCAGGAGCAGCUAGUAUUAUGUACUAAAUGUUUUGGAAUUUCUUUGAAAGAUCAAUAUAUAUAGUUGUCUUUCUCACUUUCUUCAAUUGUAUUUAAGAAGUUUAUAAAUUUUAUACAAAAUGAGAAUAAAACCACAGUAGACUGUUUAACUGAAAUUUAAAUGUUGUAAGUACUUUGUAAAUUAAAUAAAAUAAAAAUAUAUCACUUCAAAAUAUAUUAUAAAUUAUAUAAAUUAAUAUUAAAUGAAUUAAUUAACACAAAAAUUUACAAUUUUCACAUGUCUCGAACUUCACCGAUUCAAAAUAUAACACAAUUGUUUAAAAUAAUAAAAUAAUAUACUAUAAAAUAAUCCAUAAGGACGUGGGUCUUCUCAAAUAUGGUCCCACUAAAAUUUUAUAAUAAAAAUUAAUAUAUAAAUUUCGUAUAAAUAUAAACAAAACAUUUUUUUUGUUUCCACCAUGAACUCAAUCGCUAAUUAUUCUUAACCAUUCACAACAUUUUGAUAUUGUUUUAUCAUUUUACUUCUAGAAUACAUUUGCAUUAUAUAAUCCAUAUCUUAUAUUCAUCAAAUUAUUUAACAAGAACAAGUUGAAAGCCAAAGUUUAGAUUAAAUAAUAUAUAAGCCAAGAAACAAAAUGAUUUUUUUAUUUGACCUAAAAUAAUUUAUUUAAU